CGGAGGUGUAGUUUGACGCGGUGUGUUACGUGGUGGGGAAGAGAAUAAAAAAAGCCCAGCGAGAUCCCAGCCGCGAACGAAAGCAGUGACGGAGGAGAGGCAGUGUAACCCGGUAAGAGGAAGGAGGAGGAGAGGGAGAGGCUGGAGCACAGACAUGGAGAAGGCCGCAGCCGCCGGGGGCUCUCCCCACACUCUGCCCGGCACACACCCCGGGGGGCUCGGGGGCUGUGAGGAGCUCCACAGCCGGGCUCCCUUUAUCUCUCAUUCCCCAGCCAGCCCUGCGGGGACUGACA